rnacentral:rRNA from 1 species
UAGGUAGCUUAACCUUCAGGAGGGCGCUUACCACUUUGUGAUUCAUGACUGGGGUGAAGUCGUAACAAGGUAACCGUAGGGGAACCUGCGGUUGGAUCACCUCCUUACCUUAAAGAAGC